AUAAGUUUCUAUAUAAGUGACACAGUAUCCUAGUCAGCGGAACCUUUUUGAAGGCGGGGCUAAAAAUCCGUCAAGGGCACAUCGAUGAAGUUCCUGGUGCGGGCUAUUGACGCCCAGUCAGGGGUCGGUACUGGGAGUUAAGGGGGUGGGGCGACCUGCAAUGGCAUGUAGGCGUUGACCCCACCCCCGUGGAGACCCAAGUGCGUGGGCAGCCAUGUCGCAUAAUCUAGAUGUGGUCAACUAUGGCUUGGGGUGGAACCUGCACGUGGUUACAGCUGCGUGUAGUGUAGCCUGCCUUGAGUGGUAUGGGUGGAUUUCGGUUUUACAAGCGACCGGCAUGGGCCCGUGUACGGUUUAGUUUGUUGAUUGAAACCCAUAUUGCAAAAGAGGCUAGAAAAGGUAAUGCUGUCGAGGAAAACUCCUAGGCUGUUCGGAUAUGUGCCGUGACAGGCCGGGGAUUGCAGUGUGGACUAAGUGGUAAUCCAGCUCCGUAUCCGGUAACGGUCGGAAACGGCUUUAAAGGGAAACCGCCGGUUUGGCGACAGCCGGCAGCUGUUUGGGAAAACCUGCUGGACCUAAGCCGCAAUAUUUACCCGGCCUGUUGUCACUUAUUACCGUAAUUUA
rnacentral:sRNA from 1 species